rnacentral:rRNA from 1 species
GACGAAGGAUGCAAGCGUUAUCCGGAUUCAUUGGGUUUAAAGGGAGCGUAGGCGGACUGAUAAGUCAGUGGUGAAAUCUUUGGGCUUAACCCAGAAACUGCCAUUGAUACUGUUAGUCUAGAGUACAGUUGCCGUUGGCGGAAUAUGACAUGUAGUGGUGAAAUACUUAGAUAUGUCAUAGAACACCGAUUGCGAAGGCAGCUAACGAAGCUGUAACUGACGCUGAGGCUCGAAAGUGCGGGGAUCAAACAGG